rnacentral:rRNA from 1 species
GUUGUAUAGUCAAGUAAUUAAGUGCAUGUGGUGGAUGCCUUGGCAGUCAGAGGCGAUGAAAGACGUGAUAGCCUGCGAAAAGCUCCGGGGAGGCGGCAAAUAUCCUUUGAUCCGGAGAUGUCUGAAUGGGGGAACCCACCUACUUUAAGGUAGGUAUUGCAACAUGAAUACAUAGUGUUGCAAGGCGAACGAGGGGAAGUGAAACAUCUCAGUACCCUUAGGAAAAGAAAUCAAUUGAGAUUCCCUCAGUAGCGGCGAGCGAACGGGGAUCAGCCCAUUAAGUUAUGUGUGUUUUAGUGGAACGCUCUGGGAAGUGCGAACGUAGAGGGUGAUAUUCCCGUACACGAAAGGGCACACAUAAUGAUGACGAGUAGGGCGAGGCACGUGAAACCUUGUCUGAAUAUGGGGGGACCAUCCUCCAAGGCUAAAUACUCCUGACUGACCGAUAGUGAACCAGUACCGUGAGGGAAAGGCGAAAAGAACCCCUGUGAGGGGAGUGAAAUAGAUCCUGAAACCGCAUGCAUACAAGCAGUGGGAGCACCUUCGUGGUGUGACUGCGUACCUUUUGUAUAAUGGGUCAGCGACUUAUAUUCAGUAGCGAGGUUAACCGUAUAGGGGAGCCGUAGAGAAAUCGAGUCUUAAUAGGGCGUUUAGUUGCUGGGUAUAGACCCGAAACCAGGCGAUCUAUCCAUGAGCAGGUUGAAGGUUGGGUAACACUAACUGGAGGACCGAACCCACUGUCGUUGAAAAGCCAGGGGAUGACUUGUGGAUAGGGGUGAAAGGCUAAUCAAGCCUGGUGAUAGCUGGUUCUCCCCGAAAGCUAUUUAGGUAGCGCCUCGGACGAAUACCAUAGGGGGUAGAGCACUGUUUCGGCUAGGGGGUCAUCCCGACUUACCAAACCGAUGCAAACUCCGAAUACCUAUGAGUACUAUCCGGGAGACAGACUGCGGGUGCUAACGUCCGUAGUCAAGAGGAAAACAAUCCAGACCGCCAGCUAAGGCCCCAAAAUCAUAGUUAAGUGGGAAACGAUGUGGGAAGGCAUAGACAGCUAGGAGGUUGGCUUAGAAGCAGCCACCCUUUAAAGAAAGCGUAAUAGCUCACUAGUCGAGUCGGCCUGCGCGGAAGAUGUAACGGGGCUAAAACUAUGUGCCGAAGCUGCGGAUGUAUACUUUGUAUACGUGGUAGGGGAGCGUUCUGUAAGCCGAUGAAGGUGUGUUGAGAAGCAUGCUGGAGGUAUCAGAAGUGCGAAUGCUGACGUGAGUAACGACAAAACGGGUGAAAAACCCGUUCGCCGAAAGACCAAGGGUUCCAGUCCAACGUUAAUCGGGGCUGGGUGAGUCGACCCCUAAGGCGAGGCCGAAAGGCGUAGUCGAUGGGAAAAUGGUUAAUAUUCCAUUACUUCUGUGUAAUGCGAUGAGAGGACGGAGAAGGCUAAAUCAGCCUGGCGUUGGUUGUCCAGGUGAAAGGAUGUAGGCAUGUAUCUUAGGCAAAUCCGGGGUACUCUAUGCUGAGAUCUGAUAGCAAGCUGUACUUGUACAGCGAAGUGGUUGAUGCCAUGCUUCCAGGAAAAGUCUCUAAGCUUCAGUUACACAGGAAUCGUACCCGAAACCGACACAGGUGGUCAGGUCGAGUAGACCAAGGCGCUUGAGAGAACUCUGCUGAAGGAACUAGGCAAAAAUGGUACCGUAACUUCGGGAGAAGGUACGCUGUUGUUGGUGAUGGAACUCGCUUCCUGAGCUGACGACAGCCGCAGAAACCAGGCCGCUGCAACUGUUUAUUAAAAAACAUAGCACUCUGCAAACACGAAAGUGGACGUAUAGGGUGUGAUGCCUGCCCGGUGCUGGAAGGUUAAUUGAUGGGGUUAGCGUAAGCGAAGCUCUUGAUCGAAGCCCCAGUAAACGGCGGCCGUAACUAUAACGGUCCUAAGGUAGCGAAAUUCCUUGUCGGGUAAGUUCCGACCUGCACGAAUGGCAUAAUGAUGGCGGCGCUGUCUCCAGCAGAGGCUCAGUGAAAUCGAAAUCGCUGUGAAGAUGCAGUGUACCCGCGGCUAGACGGAAAGACCCCGUGAACCUUUACUGCAGCUUGACACUGAACUUUGACCUUACUUGUGUAGGAUAGGUGGGAGGCUUUGAAGCUGGAACGCUAGUUCCAGUGGAGCCGUCCUUGAAAUACCACCCUGGUAAUGUUGAGGUUCUAACUCUGUCCCGUGAUCCGGGACGAGGACCGUGUCUGGUGGGUAGUUUGACUGGGGCGGUCUCCUCCUAAAGAGUAACGGAGGAGUACGAAGGUGCGCUCAGCGUGGUCGGAAAUCACGCGUAGAGUAUAAAGGCAAAAGCGCGCUUAACUGCGAGACCCACAAGUCGAGCAGGUACGAAAAGUAGGUCUUAGUGAUCCGGUGGUUCUGUAUGGAAGGGCCAUCGCUCAACGGAUAAAAGGUACUCUGGGGAUAACAGGCUGAUACCGCCCAAGAGUUCAUAUCGACGGCGGUGUUUGGCACCUCGAUGUCGGCUCAUCUCAUCCUGGGGCUGAAGCAGGUCCCAAGGGUAUGGCUGUUCGCCAUUUAAAGAGGUACGCGAGCUGGGUUUAGAACGUCGUGAGACAGUUCGGUCCCUAUCUACCGUGGGCGCUGGAAAUUUGAGAGGAUCUGCUCCUAGUACGAGAGGACCAGAGUGGACGAACCUCUGGUGUACCGGUUGUGACGCCAGUCGCAUCGCCGGGUAGCUAUGUUCGGAAGGGAUAACCGCUGAAAGCAUCUAAGCGGGAAGCCUACCUCAAGAUAAGAUUUCCCUAGGACUUUAUGUCCUCUAAAGAGCCGUUCGAGACUAGGACGUUGAUAGGUUGGAUGUGGAAGCAUAGUGAUAUGUGAAGCUGACCAAUACUAAUUGCUCGUGAGGCUUGACUAUACAACACCCAAGCAGUUG